CACACACACACACACACAGUAACCGCGUGACUUUAAAUUUGUGAAUGGGGCACUCUCUCCCCAUCAUGUGCCGCUGGCAGUCUGUCAUGACACGUGCACACUCAACUACAUGUCCGCUAAUGCACCACGCUAGUGAUACCAAGAGUGCUAACUUUAGCACUCAUGUAGGGAUUUUUGUCUUUUUGAAGUUAAGAAAAGGCGUAUAAUUCAGAUGAGUACUGGCUAAAAAAAUAAAAUAAAAGUUUUGUUCCACGUUUGACAUGUAGGGGGCAGUCCAUUGUCGCACUUGGCACGUUUCCUGAUUGGUCAGUGCAACACUGGGACAAUUCCCAUUUCUAAGAUGGCCGCUCUAAUGAAACCAGGCAAAAAGAUGCAAGAAACAAAACCGAGACCGUAACAAAACUCAGAAAGAUUUUCAGGACGACAGCCAGCGGGUCAAGAACGCAGGCCGAGCUGAUCAUUUGAAUCAAGUGUGUUGGAAGAAGGAAACGUGGACAACAUCGCUGGACGGCGGCCCUCGCGGAGUGCAGUUUAAGUAAGACCUGCGGUCUGGCACGCCUCCUCCUCCACGGUCGACGGGGGUUCACCUACCGUGAUUCCCACCUCCGGCCUGGUUUUCUUGAAGGCGUAUCCCGAGGCGCUGUCGAUGCUGGAGCGGGAGCCGUAGA